GAUUCCACAAUUUCUUUUUAAUUGAAUAUUUGAUCACAUGGACGACGCCAUUGGCGAGGGUAUGGUCAAAUUCCUUGCAUUUUCCUUCAAGAAUUGAUUCAAAACUCGUCAUUAGCUAUCAGAAGAAUGCAAGAGGUAGGAAAUGCCGUGGUCGAGGAAUUUUGAGGAGGCAAAGUCGAUGUCUUUGCCAUUGAUUAGUCUGUUUUAUCGUGGAACAGUUUCAAUUGUACAAACAUCAGACUGAUAUCAGUAUAGUAAAAGUCAUUCUGAUUACAUCUUGCAAGUGUGUUGGAAUUAUUACUUGUCAUUUUAUCAUAGUCGAGAUUUUAUAUAGUUAUAAGCUUCGUGAAA